UACAGAGGUCCCGAGCGUUAGGCGGAAUCACUGGGCUUAAAGCGUGUGUAGGUGGAUCGUUAAGUACCUUGUGAAAUCCCACGGCUUAACCGUGGAACUGCUUGGUAUACUGGCGGUCUUGAGCCAGCUAGGGGCUACCGGAACAAAUGGUGGAGCGGUGAAAUGCGUAGAUAUCGGGAGGAACACCGGUGGCGAAGGCGGUUCUCUGGGCCUUACCUGACGCUGAGGAGCGAAAGCGUGGGGAGCGAACAGG
rnacentral:rRNA from 1 species